rnacentral:rRNA from 1 species
AGUGAACGCUGGCGGUAGGCCUAACACAUGCAAGUCGAACGGCAGCACAGUAAGAGCUUGCUCUUACGGGUGGCGAGUGGCGGACGGGUGAGGAAUACAUCGGAAUCUACUUUUUCGUGGGGGAUAACGUAGGGAAACUUACGCUAAUACCGCAUACGACCUACGGGUGAAAGCAGGGGAUCUUCGGACCUUGCGCGAUUGAAUGAGCCGAUGUCGGAUUAGCUAGUUGGCGGGGUAAAGGCCCACCAAGGCGACGAUCCGUAGCUGGUCUGAGAGGAUGAUCGGCCACACUGGAACUGAGACACGGUCCAGACUCCUACGGGAGGCAGCAGUGGGGAAUAUUGGACAAAGGGCGCAAGCCUGAUCCAGCCAUACCGCGUGGGUGAAGAAGGCCUUCGGGUUGUAAAGCCCUUUUGUUGGGAAAGAAAAGCAGCAGGUUAAUACCCCGCUGUUCUGACGGUACCCAAAGAAUAAGCACCGGCUAACUUCGUG